CCUGGCGUAGCUUAAUUUAGCAUAGCAUCUCUCUUACACUGAGAAGGUACCUGUGCAACCCAGGUCGCCAUGA
rnacentral:tRNA from 1 species